UGGAUCCGCUCGACAAUCACCCAGGACGACCUCGAUGACUUGGUGGAGGGGGGACUGAUCCCCCACAAGUCAGCACGGCUCCAGAGGAAUGAAACCGAGCCGCAGCCGAGGGAGGGUGAGUGUGUUCUCCUCGCCACCCACGUAGAUCGCGGAUUCUCACUGCCUUCCCAUCCUUUCUUCCGGGUUUUUUUGAACUUCUUUGGGGCUCAACUACACCAUUUCACCCCAAACACCAUAGUCUAUCUGGCCGCUUUUUUUGUUGAUGUGCGAAAACUUCUUGGGUUGUCGACCGCACUGGGCCUUUUCAAACACAUCUUCACCUGCCGAUCCCAGUCGGUCAAAAAGGCCAAGUCGAGUGACGAGAAGACACAAGUGAUCCAGAUGUGCGGGGGUCUGGGGAUCCAGAUGAGGAGCAAGAGUACUUUCCCAGCCAUGAUUAUUCCCGACUCGGUCCGGGGCUAG
rnacentral:rRNA from 1 species